GGUUUACGUGGGAAGCAGGGUGUGAAAGGUGACAAAGGAGAGUCAGGAAGAGAUGUAAGCACAAAGUUGAUAAAGUUAUUAGAAAUGGCCAAAGACAUUGCACAAAUGAAAUGAAAGAUUCAGAGUUGCCUUCUGUGUUUUUUUGUCCUUUUCUUUCUUGCUGUCUCUCACAUACAAACUCUCAUAUACACACACAUACACACACAUAAACACACACACACGCAAACUACUGUAGGGUAUUGCGGGCUUGCCUGGUCCCAUUGGCAUUGAUGGGGUGCCAGGUUUACCAGGUCAGAAAGGAGAGAAGGGUCAAGAAGGAAUUGGCAUACAAGGUAUUCAAGGUCCUCGUGGAGAGCCAGGAGAGAAGGUACAUCCACAGUGUCAAAUUGUGGUUUCUAUCAACUUAGAUUGUAGUAUAAUGAGAACAGCAAGUUAAGUGUCUUAUGGGGCAGAUUAUUAAUUAAACAGGAUUGCUCUGGAUGCGGUAAUGUGAAAUCCAAUUUUUGUUUCACUGUUUGAACUAUUAUUUUGCAGGGAAAUAUUGGCUUAACGGGACCAGUUGGCCCAAAGGUAACAUGAUUUUACUCCAAAUGUGACAUGUUUUUGUUGAAAUAAACAAAAAAAGAACAGUUUGUAGAAUGAUAUUUGCUACGUAAUUUAUCUUUUAAGGGUGAUCAUGGGGAGCAAGGCAUCCAAGGAAUCAUCGGACCCCGGGGAAAGAAGGGAUUGAAAGGGGAGCAAGGGGACAAGGUGAGUUCAUUCCACACAUGUCCACUCUCUUUUCAUUAAGCUGGAAAUAUUCCCUUUAUAAUUAUUAUGAUUAUAAAGUGAAGUGAAGUGAAAGAAUCAAUUUAAUUCAGCCAUGAGCCUGGCUAAUAGUAAUAAUAACAUUGUUAAAUUAACAAAUGCAUUUUUGUCUUUUUAGGGAGAACGAGGAGAGAUGGGACCAAUAGGACCACAGGGACCCACAGGACUGACCGGGCCAUUGGGGUUAAAAGGAGACGAGGGUCCAAGAGGAUCCCCUGGAGAUCCUGCCAAGGGUAUAAUUGGCCCAACUGGAAAAAAGGGUGCACGGGUAAGUAACCAAAGUCAGCUUUUUUUGUUUUGUUUUGUUUUUCAGGAAAACGUUUUUUUCAGGGUUAUUUUUUUUUUUUUGUGGGCAGAAUGCAACACCAUAGGAAAAUGUAACUUCCUGCCCUGGUUAGGUUUUAGUCCAAUUAGUCCAAAGACUUAA
rnacentral:lncRNA from 15 species